rnacentral:tRNA from 1 species
CGGGCCGUAGUAUACCGGUAGUACGCAGUCUUCGGGUGGCUGUAGACCGGGUUCAAUUCCUGGCGGCCCGACUA